GUCUCCAGGAGCUGAAGAGACCUGCUUCAGGCUGCACCAAUGCCAACAAGAGGCAUAACUGGAUGUGAACCCCAGAGUUCCCAUCUCCCACCGCAUGCAGAACUUCUUCGGCUACCUGAGCUACAGGAACCCUAGGAGGCAGGACCAGAGGUGCCCAGGGACUGCAGCCCACUAGGGUGGACAUGGGGAAAGAGGAAUACCAUUUCUGGUUCAAGUUGCUAGUUUUGCAGAGUGUAAAAUUACUGCACAAGUCUCAGAGAAUAAACAGAGUUAACACCCCGUUAAAUACAAUGGACUUUCAACGUGAGCUCUAGACGUGCCUAGAUUGAAACUAGCUGAGUGGGAGCUGGCCCGUGAGUAAAAUGUAUCACAUGCACUCCCUUAAUGCUUCCAAAGAGGAAAAUCCAGCGCAGGGAGAAGAAAGCGCCGGCAGCAGCUCUGCAGGCUCAGGGCUGAGGAUCCGGUAAUGAAGUCUUUCUGGAAGAUGCACUAGAAAGCUGAAGGAAACAGAAAACACCAUCUGAGAAAACACCUGAGAAGGACCACACAGCUCUGGGUCCUUACGUGUUUGGAAAUCCAGAUUCAUACUAAGGCAACAAAUCCUAAAUCGUUUACCCUUUCAAAAGCCAAUGAAGACUGCAAGUAAAAGACAACAUGUUUGAGAAGGAAAAUUGAAGAACAUUUAUAAAAACUAUAAUAUAAUAAACGGAAAUUAAU